rnacentral:lncRNA from 1 species
GUUUUCUAGUAUUUAUGUUUCAGAGUUCAUAUUUCUUUAAGGAACUUUGAUGUAAAUAUUGACUGAUAAAGCCAAGUGUGUAUCUUCCUAAACCUUGUUAAAGCCUAUUGCUGAGGCUUAUCAUAGGUACAAAUGGGAAAUGGGCGAUUGUUCUCUGUUCAAUGACUAUGAUGCAUUUCAAAUAACUUUGCCUUUAAUUAGGUUUGUCCUCUUGCUAGCUUUGGCCAGUGAAGCUGUUAUUUGUUUGUUUGGUUUUUGUUUUGAAACAGUGGACAUUAUUACCUAAUAGAAAUGUGACAGGAUAAGUAUUGAAGGUAAGUAGCUUCUGAACAUUCAACUAAGAAAUAAAAACAUUUAUAUUUUGUAAAAGAAUGUUCAUGAAGGAAGGGAGCAGGAAGAAUGUCAGUCAGCAGAAGCUGGAACAGAACACAAUAGACCAUUAAAUCUGGGCAUGGCAUGGCUAAUGUACUCCCGACUCAUGGCACCCAUGGUUACCUGCAAAACACCUGGAGAAGACCUGCCCCAUCAACAUCAGCAUGGCAGAAGAGGACUCAUGAGACUUUAUCUGCUUCUCAGAAUCCGUGGGUAAUUAACGGUUGAUAAAGAAGGAAGAUCCUCAGUAGUACACCUACAAGCAAGAGGCCAUGCUCCUAGAAAGAACCACUCACGCAUCUUCUGAUACCCUUGACAGCAAAAGUAACUUGCCAAAAUGUUUCAAACAAUGGUUGGAAACACAACAAUAGAAAAACCUGUCAAGUGCAAUCCAGUUUUAAUAUCCUUGAGUGUUAACAUCCUUAACCGUAUUGGCAAUCAACUGAGGAAACCUGUGGUAGGUGCCCCAUUAAUUCCAGCCUCAUACGUGUGUCAUAAUGGGAGAGAAAAUAAAAGUGAAUAUCUUUGCAUGAGGGCUUUGCCAGAAGGACAAUGUAGUUUAGCUUUUAGAGCCCACCUGUGGUAAUGGGGAGAAGAGGGGAAGAUGGGUAAAUAGUGAAAAACACAUUAUACCCUGUGAAAUCUUUCUGUCUCUGUCUCUCUAUCUUUCUCUCUCUCUCUCUCUCUGUUGGGGGUGGGUGGGUUUUCACACAACUGCAUGAGAGCACGUGUGCAUGCAGUCAGUAGGGAGGGGUACCUGAAUGAAAUAUGAUGGAAUCGGGACAUGGAGGUAUAUGCCUUUCAUACCAACAUUGAAGGAAAAGGACAGAGGUGUUCUUUUUAAAUUUGAAGCUAGUCCAAUGUAUUAUUCCUGGCCAGUCAGUGCUACAUAGUGAGACCCUAUCUCAAAAGGAAAGAAAAGAAACCAAAGGGAAAAAAAAGCAACAGGAGACAAAAAAAUAUCUAAUCAUACUAGGAAGUAAGGUGACUUGGUUUUACACUUCAGUAAAAUCACCAGUAAAUCCCCACAGUACCUGCUCUGUCAAUGAUGUAAUUGUCUUUUUUUUUCCUCUGGUGCAGUUUGAAUCCCGAACCUCCCCUAAGGAUCUUGCUCUCAAUGUUUCAUUUGCAACUGGUAGCCAUAUUUUGGGUGGUCCUGGAAACCAGCAAAUGAUGCCGAACUAAGGAGAGUGAGUAUUUGAGGUUACCAUACACGGUUGCUGUUUUCUAUUGUCUGUGCAUCCUCUCUGUUGGGUAUAAACACCUUUUUUCUGCUGCUUUACUAGUCUGACCACACCCUGCCCACCAUGAUGUUCUUCUUUUGGCAUUUUUAGUCAAAAGAAGCUUUUUAGGCUUUUAAGUUGACUCAUCAGUUAUUUGGCUAAGUGACAGG